UGGGGAAUAUUGGACAAUGGGCGAAAGCCUGAUCCAGCCAUGCCGCGUGUGUGAAGAAGGUCUUCGGAUUGUAAAGCACUUUAAGUUGGGAGGAAGGGCAGGAAGUUAAUACCUUGCUGUUUUGACGUUACCGACAGAAUAAGCACCGGCUAACUCUGUGCCAGCAGCCGCGGUAAUACAGAGGGUGCAAGCGUUAAUCGGAAUUACUGGGCGUAAAGCGCGCGUAGGUGGUUUGUUAAGUUGGAUGUGAAAGCCCCGGGCUCAACCUGGGAACUGCAUCCAAAACUGGCAAGCUAGAGUACGGUAGAGGGUGGUGGAAUUUCCUGUGUAGCGGUGAAAUGCGUAGAUAUAGGAAGGAACACCAGUGGCGAAGGCGACCACCUGGACUGAUACUGACACUGAGGUGCGAAAGCGUGGGGAGCAAACA
rnacentral:rRNA from 1 species